UACAAAUUUGAAAAUUGAUCUCAAAAAACCUUUCCUUAGAGAAGGCCACUAUACUCGUUAUCAUAUAUUAAUCAUUAGACAGCAAAUCACUGACAAGGCGGCAACGAAUUAAAAUUUCAUUUUUUCAAGUUUUGAAUAUUCUAAUAUAUUAAUAAUAUAAGAAGUUCAAUGAAAAAUUCGUACGCCUAGCUUUAACCGAAACACUGUUAUUGAAUAGGUCUGGGUCACGAUUGACCCGUCUUUGGCGUCCGAGGGUUGACGAAAGAGCUUAGUUAAAAGGUUUGCGAAAAGAGACGCGAAGAAGAGAGAAAUAUCAACAGGCGUGAAGCCGACGUCAGGAUUGUCGUGUAGGAAGCAAAUGGAGGGACACGGUGGUCGGCGGCGUCGGUAGCGGAAAGAAUCGUGAAGGGUCACGUUUAGUCUCGUCCGUACGGCUUAAGGCCCCUACGCGGCGGUUCGAUGCUCAUAUCUGCCCCGUGUCCCGUAUCCGCGCGAAGCGCCUUUCAAAACACCAACGACGCGUGCCAGACACACUGUGUGGUGCCGCGGAUCUCGUCGAGGAUUAUCGUGCGAAUUAAAAUACGUGAGAGAGAAGCCGAGUGACGUGUACCAAACUUCUGCCCGAUGUCGUCAG